rnacentral:rRNA from 1 species
AACGGAGGCGCUCAAAGGUUCUCUCAGUACGGUCGGAAAUCGUACGUAGAGUGUAAAGGCAAAAGAGAGCUUGAUUGCAAGACAUACAGGUCGAGCAAGGAUGAAAAUCGGACUUAGUGAUCCGGUGGUUCUGCGUGGAAGGGCCAUCGCUCAACGGAUAAAAGCUACCCUGGGGAUAACAGGCUUAUCUCCCCCAAGAGUCCACAUCGACGGGGAGGUUUGGCACCUCGAUGUCGGCUCAUCACAUCCUGGGGCUGUAGUAGGUCCCAAGGGUUGGGCUGUUCGCCCAUUAAAGUGGUACGCGAGCUGGGUUCAGAACGUCGUGAGACAGUUCGGUCCCUAUCCGUCGCAGGCGUAGGAAAUUUGAGAAGACCUGUCCUUAGUACGAGAGGACCGGGAUGGACGUACCUCUGGUGUACCAGUUGUCCUGCCAAGGGCAUGGCUGGGUAGCUAUGUACGGAAUGGAUAAGCGCUGAAAGCAUCUAAGCGCGAAGCCAACUUCAAGAUAAGAUUUCCCACCG